GACGAACGCUGGCGGCGUGCCUAAUACAUGCAAGUAGAACGCACAGUUUAUACCGUAGCUUGCUACACCAUAAACUGUGAGUUGCGAACGGGUGAGUAACGCGUAGGUAACCUGCCUGGUAGCGGGGGAUAACUAUUGGAAACGUUAGCUAAUACCGCAUAAUAUUAAUUAUUGCAUGAUAAUUGAUGGAAAGAUGCAAUUGCAUCACUACCAGAUGGACCUGCGUUGUAUUAGCUAGUAGGUGAGGUAACGGCUCACCUAGGCGACGAUACAUAGCCGACCGGAGAGGGUGGUCGGCCACACUGGGACUGAGACACGGCCCAGAGUGAUACGGGAGGCAGCAGUAGGGAAUCUGCGGGAAUGGACGAAAGUCUGACCGAGCAACGCCGCGUGAGUGAAGAAGGUUUUCGGGUCGUAAAGCUCGGUUGUAAGAGAAGAACGGGUGUGAGAGUGGAAAGUUCACUGUGUGACGGUAUCUUACCAGAAAGGAACGGCUAACUACGUG
rnacentral:rRNA from 1 species